ACGGUAUUGCUCAUUAGGUAGGUAUAUAUAAUGAAUAGAUAUCUUAGGUAUCUUAAAUCACACCCAAUAACACGAGCAAUAAAGACAAACACAUAUUAAGCACAAUAACUAUUAGGUAUACCCAGAUAUGUAGUGUUCGUAGAAUAAUUUAGAGAGUAAUCGCAAAAGACAAUACUUUAUUUAUAACAUUAUAAUCAUAAACGAAAAUAGAACGUUUAGUCAAAGCAAUCAAAUUGGAGUUGGAAAAAAAAAUAUAUGUGCCGGUAUGCAUUAAAAAAAUCCAAACCGACACGAAUAUAACGUACGUACCUUUUACAAGAAUCGGUUCGGAAUUUUCAAUCACUCUGAACAGUUAUUCUGAUUUCCGGGGAGAGCCGGUAUUGAUAUAUCCGUGAAAAUCGGAGAGACGAACGGAACGGUCCGACAGGCAAGCACAACGAGAAUCAACUGACGACGCCGGAACGGUUGCCGGCGUAUAUAUUAGCGGGAGAAUAUUCUAGAAUCUUCGAGUGUAGCGCGGAAACGGAAUAUUCGAGAAUCUUCUGGUAACCACCGCUUGUCCGACCGAAUUGCGUCGCGUCGAC